UCCUGGGUCUUUACAAGGUCAAAAGGCAAGAAUUAACUUACCUUAUUUCUUUUUGCAUUUUUAGUGUGACCUUCCUUUUCCUGAGGCAUUGGGGUCAAAUUCUAAUGUGACUGGUUUUAAGGUAUGCAGGAUGAAAUCUUUUGUAUUUUCAUAAUCAAAUUCAUAAGAGGACUUCAUAGCAAAGAAAUGAAGAUACAAAUAGGUGGUUAAACCUGGGAUCUUAUAUACCAUUUUAACAAAAGGUGAUAAAUUUAUGGAGCAGUGACAAGA